rnacentral:lncRNA from 1 species
UGAAGCAAUAGACCAAACUGAUUCAUUGGCUUCUGUGGUGUGUGUUGUUUGGAGUUCAUCAUCAGAACAAUCUUUGAAUAAGUAUCUUGUUCUCUCAAAAAAAGAGGGGUAAAUGCACUGUCAUAUUCAAUUAAUGAAGAAUAUCCUUUGAUACUAGCAGUGUGGCUAGAUUGUGCCUGUAGUUACUGGGCAAAGAGUAUGCCAGUUGUUCUUUGGAAGAUCUGCAGUGCAGAUUACGGCCUGCAACUCUCUGGAACCCAGGACUGUAGCCGCAACUGACAGCCGCACACCAUGGACGUGAUAAACUGACUCAAGGGAUUGAGGAACUCCCCUGAUCGGGAACCGCAUGUGCAUUGUGUCCACGUACUUGCCUUUCCAGAGCUACGCAGUGACUCUGGAUUUCAUCUUCAAAUGGAAUCAGUUCAGUUCAGCCUCUCAGUUGUGUCCGACUCUUUGUGACCCCAUAAAUCGCAACAUGCCAGGCCUCCCUGUCCAUCACCAACUCCUGGAGUUUACUCAAAC